rnacentral:rRNA from 1 species
GUGGGGAAUAUUGGGCAAUGGGCGAAAGCCUGACCCAGCAACGCCGCGUGAAGGAAGAAGGUUUUCGGAUCGUAAACUUCUAUCCUUGGUGAAGAUAAUGACGGUAGCCAAGAAGGAAGCCCCGGCUAACUACGUGCCAGCAGCCGCGGUAAUACGUAGGGGGCAAGCGUUGUCCGGAAUGAUUGGGCGUAAAGGGCGCGUAGGCGGCCCGGUAAGUCUGAAGUGAAAGUCCUGCUUUUAAGGUGGGAAUUGCUUCGGAUACUGUCGGGCUUGAGUGCAGGGGAGGGAAGCGGAAUUCCCGGUGUAGCGGUGAAAUGCGUAGAGAUCGGGAGGAACACCAGUGGCGAAGGCGGCUUACUGGACUGUAACUGACGCUGAGGCGCGAAAGUGUGGGGAGCAAACAGGAUUAGAAACCCGGGUAGUCC